rnacentral:rRNA from 1 species
UACGGAGGGGGGCUAGCGUUGUUCGGAAUUACUGGGCGUAAAGCGCGCGUAGGCGGCUUUGUAAGUUAGAGGUGAAAGCCCGGAGCUCAACUCCGGAAUUGCCUUUAAGACUGCAUCGCUAGAAUCAUGGAGAGGUUAGUGGAAUUCCCAGUGUAGAGGUGAAAUUCGUAGAUAUUGGGAAGAACACCGGUGGCGAAGGCGGCGACCUGGUCCAUUACUGACGCUGAGGCGCGACAGCGUGGGGGAGCAAACAGG